rnacentral:rRNA from 1 species
GACGAACGCUGGCGGCGUGCUUAACACAUGCAAGUCGAACGGAAAGGCCAGUGCUUGCACUGGUGCUCGAGUGGCGAACGGGUGAGUAACACGUGGGUGAUCUGCCUUGCACUCUGGGAUAAGCUUGGGAAACUGGGUCUAAUACCGGAUAGGAACCGUCUUUAGUGUGGUGGUUGGAAAGUUUUUUCGGUGCAAGAUGGGCUCGCGGCCUAUCAGCUUGUUGGUGGGGUAAUGGCCUACCAAGGCGUCGACGGGUAGCCGGCCUGAGAGGGUGUACGGCCACAUUGGGACUGAGAUACGGCCCAGACUCCUACGGGAGGCAGCAGUGGGGAAUAUUGCACAAUGGGCGGAAGCCUGAUGCAGCGACGCCGCGUGGGGGAUGACGGCCUUCGGGUUGUAAACUCCUUUCGACAGGGACGAAGCGUUAUGUGACGGUACCUGUAUAAGAAGCACCGGCUAACUACGUG